UAUACCGUGAAACUGCGAAUGGCUCAUUAAAUCAGUUAUCGUUUAUUUGAUAGUACCUUACUACUUGGAUAACCGUGGUAAUUCUAGAGCUAAUACAUGCUAAAAACCCCAACUUCGGAAGGGGUGUAUUUAUUAGAUAAAAAACCAACGCCCUUCGGGGCUUCUUGGUGAUUCAUGAUAACUUUACGGAUCGCAUGGCCUUGCGCCGGCGACGGUUCAUUCAAAUUUCUGCCCUAUCAACUUUCGAUGGUAAGGUAUUGGCUUACCAUGGUUUCAACGGGUAACGGGGAAUUAGGGUUCGAUUCCGGAGAGGGAGCCUGAGAAACGGCUACCACAUCCAAGGAAGGCAGCAGGCGCGCAAAUUACCCAAUCCCGACACGGGGAGGUAGUGACAAUAAAUACUGAUACAGGGCUCUUUUGGGUCUUGUAAUUGGAAUGAGUACAAUUUAAACCUCUUAACGAGGAACAAUUGGAGGGCAAGUCUGGUGCCAGCAGCCGCGGUAAUUCCAGCUCCAAUAGCGUAUAUUAAAGUUGUUGCAGUUAAAAAGCUCGUAGUUGAAACUUGGGUCUGGCUGGCAGGUCCGCCUCACCGCGUGUACUUGUCCGGCCGGGCCUUCCUUCUGGAGAACCUCAUGCCCUUCACUGGGCGUGUUGGGGACCAGGACUUUUACUUUGAAAAAAUUAGAGUGUUCAAAGCAGGCCUUUGCUCGAAUACGUUAGCAUGGAAUAAUAGAAUAGGACGUGCGGUCCUAUUUUGUUGGUUUCUAGGACCGCCGUAAUGAUUAAUAGGGACAGUCGGGGGCAUCAGUAUUCAAUUGUCAGAGGUGAAAUUCUUGGAUUUAUUGAAGACUAACUACUGCGAAAGCAUUUGCCAAGGAUGUUUUCAUUAAUCAGUGAACGAAAGUUAGGGGAUCGAAGACGAUCAGAUACCGUCGUAGUCUUAACCGUAAACUAUGCCGACUAGGGAUCGGGCGAUGUUCUUUUUCUGACUCGCUCGGCACCUUACGAGAAAUCAAAGU
rnacentral:rRNA from 1 species